rfam:Schistosoma mattheei strain Denwood, Zambia genome assembly, scaffold: SMTD_scaffold0003077
GCACUUCUGAUGAGUCCCACAAUAGGACGAAACGGCCGUCCAGUGC